rnacentral:misc_RNA from 1 species
GAUGAAGAACGCAGCGAAAUGCGAUAAGUAAUGUGAAUUGCAGAAUUCAGUGAAUCAUCGAAUCUUUGAACGCACCUUGCGCCCUUUGGACAUUCCGAAGGGCAUGCCUGUUUGAGUAUCAUGAACACCUCAACUCUCACGGCUUGUCCGUGAUGAGCUUGGACUUUGGGGGUCUUGCCGGCCUGUGGUCGGCUCCUCUCAAAUGGAUCAGCUUGCCAGUGUUUGGUGGCAUCACAGGUGUGAUAACUAUCUGCGCUUGUGGUUUUCCAUCAGAUAACCUUCAGUGAUAUGGAGGUUCGCUGGAGCUCACAAAUGUCUCUCCUUAGUGAGGACAGCUCUUUGAACGUUUGAUCUCAAAUCAGGUAGGGCUACCCGCUGAACUUAAGCAUAUCAAUAAGCGGAGGA